rnacentral:lncRNA from 1 species
UGAUUCCCUGUCGGAAUGUGCUGGGUUCUCAGAAUCAACCGGGUGGUCACAUGAUUCCCUAUCCGAAUGUGCUGGGUUCUCAGAAUCAACCGGGUGGUCACAUGAUUCCCUAUCGGAAUGUGCUGGGUUCUCAGAAUCAACUAGGCGGUCCUAUGAUUCCCUAUCGGAAUGUGCUGGGUUCUCAGAAUCAACCGGGUGGUCCCAUGAUUCCCUAUCGGAAUGUGCUGGAUUCUCAGAAUCAACGGGGUGGUCACAUGAUUCCCUAUCCACAUGUGCUGGGUUCUCAGAAUCAACCGGGUGGUCACAUGAUUCCCUAUCGGAAUGUGCUGGGUUCUCCGAAUCAACUAGGCGAUCACAUGAUUCCCUAUCAGAAUGUGCUGGGUUCUCAGAAUCCACCGGGUGGUCCCAUGAUUCCCUAUCGGAAUGUGCUGGGUUCUCAGAAUCAACCGGGUGGUCACAUGAUUCCCUAUCGAAAUGUGCUGGGUUCUCCGAAUCGACGGGGUGGUCCCAUGAUUCCCUAUCGGAAUGUGCUGGGUUCUCAGAAUCAACAGGGUGGUCACAUGAUUCCCUAUCGGAAUGUGCUGGGUUCUCAGCAUCAAUGGGGUGGUCCCAUGAUUCCCUGUCGGAAUGUGCUGGGUUCUCAGAAUCAACCGGGUGGUCACAUGAUUCCCUAUCCGAAUGUGCUGGGUUCUCAGAAUCAACCGGGUGGUCACAUGAUUCCCUAUCGGAAUGUGCUGGGUUCUCAGAAUCAACUAGGCGGUCACAUGAUUCCCUAUCAGAAUGUGCUGGGUUCUCAGAAUCCUUCCGGUGGUCCUAUGAUUCCCUAUCGGAAUGUGCUGGGUUCUCAGAAUCAACCGGGUGGUCCCAUGAUUCCCUAUCGGAAUGUGCUGGGUUCUCCGAAUCAACUAGGCGGUCACAUGAUUCCCUAUCAGAAUGUGCUGGGUUCUCAGAAUCCACCGGGUGGUCCCAUGAUUCCCUAUCGGAAUGUGCUGGGUUCUCAGAAUCAACCGGGUGGUCCCAUGAUUCCCUAUCGGAAUGUGCUGGGUUCUCAGAAUCAACGGGGUGGUCACAUGAUUCCCUAUCCACAUGUGCUGGGUUCUCAGAAUCAACCGGUUGGUCACAUGAUUCCCUAUCGAAAUGUGCUGGGUUCUCCGAAUCGACGGGGUGGUCCCAUGAUUCCCUAUCGGAAUGUGCUGGGUUCUCAGAAUCAACAGGGUGGUCACAUGAUUCCCUAUCGGAAUGUGCUGGGUUCUCAGCAUCAAUGGGGUGGUCCCAUGAUUCCCUGUCGGAAUGUGCUGGGUUCUCAGAAUCAACCGGGUGGUCACAUGAUUCCCUAUCCGAAUGUGCUGGGUUCUCAGAAUCAACCGGGUGGUCACAUGAUUCCCUAUCGGAAUGUGCUGGGUUCUCAGAAUCAACUAGGCGGUCACAUGAUUCCCUAUCAGAAUGUGCUGGGUUCUCAGAAUCCACCGGGUCGUCCUAUGAUUCCCUAUCGGAAUGUGCUGGGUUCUCAGAAUCAACCGGGUGGUCCCAUGAUUCCCUAUCGGAAUGUGCUGGAUUCUCAGAAUCAACGGGGUGGUCACAUGAUUCCCUAUCCACAUGUGCUGGGUUCUCAGAAUCAACCGGGUGGUCCCAUGAUUCCCUAUCGGAAUGUGCUGGGUUCUCAGAAUCUACAGGGUGGUCACAUGAUUCCCUAUCGGAAUGUGCUGGGUUCUCAGCAUCAACGAGGUGGUCACAUGACUCCCUAUCGAAAUGUGCUGGGUUCUCAGAAUCAAC